GCCGGGUGUGGUGGUGCACGCCUGUAGUCCCAGCUACUUGGGAGGCUGAGGCAGGAGAAUUGCUUGAACCCGGGAAGCGGAGGUUGCAGUGAGCAGAGAUCACACCACUGCACUCCAGCCUGGGCAACAGAGUGAGACUCUGUCUCAA
rnacentral:SRP_RNA from 1 species